rnacentral:rRNA from 1 species
GGUAAACGCUGGCGGCGUGCCUAAAACAUGCAAGUCGAACGGGCACCUUCGGGUGUCAGUGGCAGACGGCUGAGUAACGCGUGGGUGACGUACCUGUCGGUGGGGAAUAACUGCCCGAAAGGGUGGCUAAUUCCGCAUACGUCCAUCCGGUCGAACGGAUGGGGAAAGCAAUCCAAUGCGCCGAUGGAGCGGCACGCGUUCGAUUAGCUGGUUGGUGGGGUACCGGCCUACCAAGGCGACGAUCGAUAGCUGGUCUCAGAGGAUGAUCAGCCAGACUGGGACUGAGACACGGCCCAGACUCCUACGGGAGGCAGCAGUUAGGAAUUUUGGGCAAUGGGCGGAAGCCUGACCCAGCAACGCCGCGUGGGUGACGAAGGCCUUCGGGUUGUAAAGCCCUUUUCUGGGUGAAGAUGAUGACGGUACCCCAGGAAGAAGCACCGGCUAACUACGUGCCAGCCGCCGCGGUAACAC